GUGCUCGCUUUGGCAGCACAUAGACUAAAACUGGAACGAUACAGAGAAGAUUAGCACAGGGAUGACACUCAGAUUCAUGAAGCAAUCCACAUUUUA
ensembl:snRNA U6 U6 spliceosomal RNA